GUGAGCCUUGCUGAUUUAAGGAGGAAGAGUGCAAAGGCCCCGAGGUCACAGCACGUAUGGUCUCCACUUAAGGAUGAGCCAGGAGCACUGCAAUGAAUGCUGCUGCACACGCUGUUGAGCUCGUGGACACUUUCCUGCUGGGUGAGGACCCGAACGUGAAAUUGCUGGGUCAUGGAUUCAAGUGCUACACAUAUUUUUGACCACAUUACUGUGACUCAGGAAGCCCAGGAACAGAAUUCUAGGCACCAGAACCAUACAUGUUACAGCCUCUGAGCUUUAUGGCCUCUGAGCCAUUUGUCCAGCCACAUCAUUUGCAGAUGAGAUCCUGAGACUCAGGCUGGAAAAGUGACCGGGGAAAAGUCACACAAGUCAGAGGCAGAGCUGGAGUUUCCUCAUUUCCAGGCCCGUAUAGAUCAAGACGGACGUUGGUCAAACACCUCCUAGUACUCACAUGAAGAAGCUCUCCUUUCUGCUGUAGGAAUGAUCACACACCAUUCCAAUCUGGAUACCAAAUGUCAUUGUUUAUUAAAUGUGUGCAGUGUGCCAGGCAUAUUGUGUCAUAUGUUUACAUGUGUCAUAUAUUUACAUUACAUAUGAUCGCUGGUUCUUACAACAACCCUUCAAGACAGGUCAUAUCAAGCCCAUUUUUCAGACGGGAAAAAGAGCUCAGAGGGGAUGAUUAGCUUGUUCAGGUUUUCCAGUUUCCUUAGGAAGUGGCAGAGCUGGAUCUGAACUCUGCUUGUGACUACUUGGGGGAUGGAGGAGUGAACUCCUUUUUAUCAGAUCCUGGCUGCUUCGGCACCAGAAGAAUGCUUCUUCCCCCUCAGGCCCUGGGGGGUUCCUCUAAAGAAUAGAGACUCCCGGCUUUCCAUGAGACAAAAAGCAGGCAAUUCAACACGGCAAGCCCUUAAUAUACCUGCACGUUUCUCUGUAAGGACUGAUUUAGAAAGCGGACUCACAGCCACUGCACUGAUAGCAGUUUCUAUUCUAAAACCUAUGGAAAUUGUGAACACUUGCCCCCAAAAACUCUCCCAGAAACCUUUAGGACAGUGAGGCUGUGUUCAGAAACUAAUUGCACCCAUAUCUGAGGAGCUACCACAUGAACUUCAUUAUUCACAGAA
rnacentral:lncRNA from 10 species